UACAGAGGUCCCAAGCGUUGUUCGGAUUCACUGGGCGUAAAGGGUGCGUAGGUGGUGAGGUAAGUCGGAUGUGAAAGCUCGGAGCUCAACUCCGAAAUGGCAUUGGAAACUACCUUGCUCGAGGGUUGGAGGGGGGACUGGGAAUGCUUGGUGUAGCAGUGAAAUGCGUAGAUAUCAAGCGGAACACCAGUGGCGAAGGCGAGUCCCUGGACAACUCCUGACACUGAGCACGAAGGCCAGGGGAGCAAACGGG
rnacentral:rRNA from 1 species